ACGCUCGACACUCGGGAGCAGCAGUGGGGAAUAUUGCACAAUGGGGGAAACCCUGAUGCAGCGACGCCGCGUGGAGGAAGAAGGUCUUCGGAUUGUAAACUCCUGUUGUUGGGGAAAAAGAGGAUGGUACCCAACAAGGAAGUGACGGCUAACUACGUGCUAGCAGCCGCGGUAAUCUGAGCGGGCUGGCAAGGC
rnacentral:rRNA from 1 species